CUGGAGGACCGAACCCACGCAUGUUGCAAAAUGCGGGGAUGAGCUGUGGAUAGGGGUGAAAGGCUAAACAAACUCGGAGAUAGCUGGUUCUCCCCGAAAACUAUUUAGGUAGUGCCUCGAGCAAGACACUGGUGGGGGUAAAGCACUGUUAUGGCUAGGGGGUUAUUGCAACUUACCAACCCAUGGCAAACUCAGAAUACCAUCAAGUGGUUCCUCGGGAGACAGACAGCGGGUGCUAACGUCCGGUGUCAAGAGGGAGAGAGCCCAGAGCGCCAGUUAAGGGUGCCUAUGAUAGAUUAAGUGGUAAAUGAUGUGGGAAGGCCCAGACCGCCAGGAUGUUGGCUUAGAUGCCGCCAUCAUUUAAAGAACGCGUCAUAGCUCACUGGUCGAGUCGUCCCGCGCGGAAGAUGUAAC
rnacentral:rRNA from 1 species